CGGGGUGCAGCAGGCGCGAAAACUUUACAAUGCGGGAAACCGUGAUAAGGGGACACCGAGUGCCAGCAUCAUAUGCUGGCUGUCCAGGUGUGUAAAAUACACCUGUUAGCAAGGGCCGGGCAAGACCGGUGCCAGCCGCCGCGGUAACACCGGCGGCCCGAGUGGUGAUCGUGAUUAUUGGGUCUAAAGGGUCCGUAGCCGGUUUGGUCAGUCCUCCGGGAAAUCUGAUAGCUCAACUAUUAGGCUUUCGGGGGAUGCUGCCAGACUUGGAACCGGGAGAGGUAAGAGGUACUACAGGGGUAGGAGUGAAAUCUUGUAAUCCCUGUGGGACCACCUGUGGCGAAGGCGUCUUACCAGAACGGGUUCGACGGUGAGGGACGAAAGCUGGGGGCACGAACCGGAUUAGAUACCCGGGUAGUCCCAGCCGUAAACGAUGCUCGCUAGGUGUCAGGCAUGGCGCGACCGUGUCUGGUGCCGCAGGGAAGCCGUGAAGCGAGCCACCUGGGAAGUACGGCCGCAAGGCUGAAACUUAAAGGAAUUGGCGGGGGAGCACAAGGGCGAAUCGC
rnacentral:rRNA from 1 species